rnacentral:rRNA from 1 species
AACGAACGUUAGCGGCGCGCCUAACACAUGCAAGUCGAGCGAGAAGGAAGCAAUUCCUGUAAAGCGGCGCACGGGUGAGUAACACGUAGGUAAUCUGCCUCGAGGUGGUGGAUAACCUUCCGAAAGGAGGGCUAAUACAGCAUGAGACCACAUCUUCGAAAGAGGAAGAGGUCAAAGCGGGCCACUAUACAUAAGCUCGCGCCUUGAGAUGAGCCUGCGGCCCAUCAUGGUAGUUGGUAGGGUAACGGCCUACCAAGCCGAAGACGGGUAGCUGGUCUGAGAGGAUGAUCAGCCACACUGGAACUGAGACACGGUCCAGACUCCUACGGGAGGCAGCAGUGGGGAAUCUUGCGCAAUGGGCGAAAGCCUGACGCAGCGACGCCGCGUGAGUGAUGAAGGCCCUCGGGUUGUAAAGCUCUGUGGAGGGGACGAAUAAGGGUUGGCGUAACAUCCAGCUCGAUGACGGUACCCCUUUAGCGAGCACCGGC